rnacentral:rRNA from 1 species
CGAAAGGUACACCUGUUUGAGUG